rnacentral:lncRNA from 1 species
AUGCACCUCAAUGCUGCUUUUUGUGUAACUCUAUUCACAUAUGAUCAGACGGCAGCUAUGCCCUGCAGUACAUUCGUUAUUUUUUUUCUACAUCAAAAAAAACAAAAAAAAAAACAAAUUCAGUGUUUAUUUGUAAUAGUAAAAAUAAAUAUACAUAAUUAGUCGAAAGGAAAGUAGGUCGAAUAAGCUAUUCAAUACACAAAAACAGCCAAGCAAAUAAGCAGUGUUGUUCCCUAUAGUUAAUGAUUUCAUUCAGGUUCCAAACACACAAUAAAACUGAUAAAAAUAGAAGUUAUUACUUGAAAUGGUUGUCCAAUUCAACUUUUUUUUUGUAACACUGACUUUUUACUGUAUUGAUGCUUGCCACUCACACAAACACACAAAUUAAAUGAUAAAGCAAAAUGUAACCACUUUAAUUUGUUAUUUAAAUUGCUUACAUUUUGCUUUAUCCUUUAAUUUGUUGACUUUUGUACUUUGAAAUGCCACUUACAAAACAAUGCCAUGGUAUAUUUGAAAGUACGUUGGUAUUACCGACAUUUGUUUGAGCGGUGCAGACAAACCGUCACCCUUUAUACGCUUAUACAAACACGUCGUCACAACAACACAGUGGUAAACAAGCCUGACAACUGUGUCCCAUAAUAUCAAGCACAGACUGGUGCAAAGCUGUGGUCAAAUUUGGCUGUUAAAACGACUGUCACGGUCACCAAAAAAGCACAAAUGACCGUGGUUUAUUCAAACAUCUCCCAUUAAAAUUUCAUGCAAAACCUCUCGGCGCUCGAAGUAUGUGGAAGGAAGUGCUCUGGAAAGAGGACAGGGGAAAAAAGGACCCAUGUAAGGUUCGAUAAUCUCCAUGCUAAUCUUGUUAAACAAAUCUUUCAAUAGGGCUACAGAUGUCCUCUUUCUGUUAUCUCGUACGCUGAAUUGUUCUCAGGUCUAUUUGAAUACUCUACGCCCAGAAUAGACUGUUUUUAUUUGUUUCUAGAUGAGCCUGCAUGGAAAAACACUGAUUAUUUUUGCAGGUUUGAUGGUAACCGCCUUAGUUUCUAAUCUGGGCUUCUACAUUUGUGACACCACGACCCAUUAAAACCUCUCUAAAUUUGCCCGUUAACACACUUUUACCACUUUGAAGCGAUAAAUCAGCUAUUACCUGCAAGCCAAUAACUACUAGAUCCAUUAACAAAGUAGCUCCAGCGGUUAAGCUUGAUUCUGUCUGUAUGCUUAGAGUCCUGCUACCUUGCUUCGCUUUAAGGCAGGCUGUGUUUACUUAUGGGAAAUGGUUUGUUUUGUCUGAGUGGUUGUGACACUCACAUGUUUGACAAGUGAAAUGAGACCAAAUGUUCUCCUUGUAGCCGAAACGUCUUUGAAGCGCUGGCUUUUAAUAUGGCGUGUUUACCUAUGAAAAAUCUUUAUUGGCCCUCAGCCUUUAGCCAUCGAAAGCCGUAGUGGUGAACAUAAAUCAUUCACGAGGUAAUUCAAGGGAACAAAUGCGCUGGAAAGGUGGACUGAUAUAACGAAGACCAUUUAAACUGUUUACAGUCACGGAAAAUAAACUGCAAUUCGAAAGGUGUUAACGCUUGAGCAAAUAUUUAAUAUUUGUGUCUGUGAUAUCUCAUGAGCGACCCAUUAUUGGUGCAAGCUGUGCACAUUUUAGUGUGUAAAUGAUUAUAUUUUCUAUUUCGAAUCAUUUUGAAAUGGUUACAGAUAUUGUUUUUGAGAAGUACAAAUAGUUUAGCACAUUCUUCCAUUGCAUCUUGUAGAAACACUCUGAACGUAGACCUGAUUUACACACCUUUGAUAAUCGUAUGUAGCGAGAUGAUCAAAGAUGGGGGUAGUUGCUGCUGACUCUGGAAAGGAUCACAGUGUUGGAACAAUAAUUGAUGCUGAGCAGAGGCUGAACUCAGGCAUUGCCACCGGUUGACACCCAUUACAUUGUUCAGCGCUGCUCACUUUGCAGGUUCACGGCAGAUAAAAACACAAAAGGGGUCGGGCUUUUGGAAGAGAUGUCUGCAAGUACGACAGUGAUGAAUCGCUCUUGAUGUGUGCUCAGAAAGCGGUGAAAUUGGGUUGUGGCGCCGUGCUAUAGCUUUGGGUCACUAUGCAUCCGUGCUGGUUAUAAUCAGAUGCUGGCAGAGUCUGAAACGGGCUUCUGUCUUGAUUAAAGUUCACGUCAACAGAAACAUCUAAACUUUUUUUUUUUUAUUUACUUUCCACUAGAUUUUUUUUGUGUGAAUGUGCAUGAAUGUAAAAUAAUGUUAUAAAUUAAGAACAAUUUUUUGUGUGUGUACUAUAACAUCAAUCUGUAAUUUUGCACAAAUUAUUAUAGGGAAGACCUGGGAUAAUUGCAACAUACUAAAUAUUAUAAACAAGGUAUGACUCAUUCAACUCUUUCUUUCUCUCUCUGCCUGGAAAAAAGACAAACAUAUAAUUUUGAGAGAAAUUUCCAAAUUUUUUAAUGUCCAUGUUUUUUUCCACUUUAAUUUUGAUGCCUUGAAUUUCAAAAUAAUAUAUAUAUAUAUAUAUAUAGUAUAAUAUACUGUAUAAUAUCUUGGUUGUUAGUUUAAAUGUUUAACAUAAAUUACACAUGCUAAUGUUGCUUGCUGGUACUAAAAUCAUACAGGAUUUUAUCAUAACUGUGUGGCCGUCGGUGGCUUUUGUAACACUAGUUAUGAAAUUAAAAUUGUAUGACCGCAAAGAAUUAAACCUUUAUCAUUUAAAAUGAACAUUAUUUCAUUAAAGCAGCUAGUUGAAGACUGUCCUUGACUUAUUAGCUGAAAAAUAUAUUUUAGUUAAAAUGAUUUAACCCAUUUAGCAAAAUAAUAAAGUAGGUACCACUUAGACUUUUGCUUUAAACUUAAAUUAUUCAUGGUAGCUAAAAGAAUUAGGACCGUAAAGGUAAUACAAUUCAGUAACUGAAAUGAGUUAUUGAUAUAAUUUUGUCACUUUUUUUACAAAAUCGCCCUUUAACAUUCUGACUUGUUUAAAAAUAAAUGUAACGUUUUUUAAUGCAAAUGUUAAAAUCAUAUUAUUACAGUAACAACUUGUAAAUUCCUCUUGUACAUAAAUGUGUCUUAUACAAAAAUAUAGCAUAUGUUAUUGAUACACUGAUAUGUUACCGAUACUAUUUUUAAAUUACCCUGUAAUAUAAUGACUUUUAGAUUAAAUUUAAUAUGAUUAUAUGAUGUUUUCUGUGAUAUUAUUACAGUAACAACUUGUAAAUUCCUCUUGUACAUAAAUGUGUCUUAUACAAAAAAUAUAGCAUAUGUUAUUGAUACACUGAUAUGUUACCGAUACAUUUUUUUUUAAAUUACCCUGUAAUAUAAUGACUUUUUAGAUUAAAUUUAAUAUGAUUAUAUGAUGUUUUUCUGUGUGUAUCUAUUAUAAUAGAAUUACUACUUGUGGAACUUAUAAAUGUGUCUUACUGAAAUAUGGCACACUGAUUACUAUCUUGAUUACGAUUUCUGCUUCUUGAUUACUAAAAUAUUACUCCCCUAACAGUAAUAUG